GAACGUUAGGACAAUCUGAUUGGGAUAUCUCACCCUACUGAUCACCAGGGCUGAUUUGGCUGAUUUAGCUCAUCUGGCUGACUAGGUAAGGGUCCCUUUUCUCCCUCACUAUUCCAUGUGCAUUUAUCCUGAAAUGGCACACUGAGUAGAAGAUCAAACACCCCUGAUAGAGGACCAUUCCUCGAUCAAGGGCAUUUGAGUAGCUGUGCUCCCCUGCUAGAACCUCCAAGCAAGCUCUCAACACUGUCUCAUACUAAAUCAAUAAACUGCCGAGUGUUAAGGUUUUUAAUUUAGAUGUCCCCCUAAAGCUUCCUGUGCUCACAGAUUGGUACUU
ensembl:misc_RNA 7SK 7SK RNA